rnacentral:rRNA from 2 species
UCGUAGCAAACUAAGAAUACUAGCCAUUGCUUCCCGUUAACCAGUGAGACGGUGGGGGAUAAGCUCCAUCGUCGAGAGGGAAACAGCCCAGAUCACCAGCUAAGGCCCCAAAAUGACCGCUAAGUGGCAAAGGAGGUAGGAAUGCUGAAACAACCAGGAGGUUUGCCUAGCAGCAGCCAUCCUUUAAAGAGUGCGUAAUAGCUCACUGGUAGAGCGUUCUUGCGCCGAAAAUGAACGGGACUAAGCGGUCUGCCGAAGCUGUGGGUAAGUUUUGAUAAAAGGUAGUAUUAUCUUUCGUUUUAAAAGAGUUUUCAAAACAAAGACUACCUUUUAUUGAUCUUGCGGUAGGGGAGCGUUCCGCUCUAGGGUGAAGCACGAGCGUAAGUUGGUGUGGACAAAGCGGAAGUGAGAAUGUCGGCUUGAGUAACGAAAACAUUGGUGAGAAUCCAAUGCCCCGAAAACCUAAGGCUUCCUCCACAAGGCUCGUCCAUGGGGGGUUAGUCGGGGCCUAAGGCGAGGCCGAAAGGCGUAGUCGAUGGAAAACAGGUUAAUAUUCCUGUACUCAUUUUACAGUGGCACCGAGGGACGAAGAAGGGAACAGUUGGUCAAUAUUGGAUGUUGGCGGAAACGUUCAAGGUGAUGAGAGAUAGAAAAAAAACUCUUCUUGAGCUGAGGCGUAACACGGUUUGAUUCCCUGAACAAUAAAGAAGAAAGUUGUUCAAAACCAAACUCAACUCUUUCUCAGACUUCCUAGAAAAGCUCGAGCUGCCAAUACUAAGAGAUGACCCGUACCCGAAACCGACACAGGUAGGUAGG